rnacentral:rRNA from 1 species
GACGAACGCUGGCGGCGUGCUUAACACAUGCAAGUCGAACGGAAAGGCCCUGCUUGCAGGGUACUCGAGUGGCGAACGGGUGAGUAACACGUGGGUGAUCUGCCCUGCACUUCGGGAUAAGCCUGGGAAACUGGGUCUAAUACCGGAUAGGAGCCAUUUUUAGUGUGAUGGUUGGAAAGUUUUUUCGGUGUAGGAUGAGCUCGCGGCCUAUCAGCUUGUUGGUGGGGUAAUGGCCUACCAAGGCGGCGACGGGUAGCCGGCCUGAGAGGGUGGACGGCCACAUUGGGACUGAGAGACGGCCCAGACUCCUACGGGAGGCAGCAGUGGGGAAUAUUGCACAAGGGGCGCAAGCCUGAUGCAGCGACGCCGCGUGGGGGAGGACGGCCUUCGGGUUGUAAACUCCUUUCGCUAGGGACGAAGCUUUUUGUGACGGUACCUAGAUAAGAAGCACCGGCUAACUACGUG